ACCACUUCUUGGCCUUUUGGCUAAGAUCAAGUGCAACAGUUAUUUCUGAAGACUGUAUACGCAAAGAACUUGAAUUUUUAGUUGGCAUCUUUCACCUAUACUACAAUAUGUUUUCUUCUGUUUUUCCAUUACUUAGAAGCAAAGAGAACUUUCU
rnacentral:snRNA from 1 species